rnacentral:rRNA from 1 species
AGACCCGAAACCCGGUGAUCUAGCCAUGGGCAGGUUGAAGGUUGGGUAACACUAACUGGAGGACCGAACCGACUAAUGUUGAAAAAUUAGCGGAUGACCUGUGGCUGGGGGUGAAAGGCCAAUCAAACCGGGAGAUAGCUGGUUCUCCCCGAAAGCUAUUUAGGUAGCGCCUCGUGAAUUCAUCUCCGGGGGUAGAGCACUGUUUCGGCUAGGGGGCCAUCCCGGCUUACCAACCCGAUGCAAACUGCGAAUACCGGAGAAUGUUAUCACGGGAGACACACGGCGGGUGCUAACGUCCGUCGUGAAGAGGGAAACAACCCAGA